GUUGAGUUGAGAAGAUUCAAUGGUAUUUAUGAUGAAUAUAUAUCUGUAUCUCAAAACUAGACGAACGUAAGCCCAUUAAUAAUGAUUUUUAAAUUAUUCCAUUUUUUGCAUGUAAGAUAUUAUUAUGUUUCCAUCGAGCCAUAAUAACGGGUCUGCUAAAAAUACUCCUUCCAAAUUUUACGAGGCUUAUUCGAAUGUAAAUCCUGAUAUAUGACAGGAAAAAUGUCC